UACGGGGGGGGUAAGCGUUGUUCGGAAUUACUGGGCGUAAAGGGCUCGUAGGCGGCCAACUAAGUCAUACGUGAAAUCCCUCGGCUUAACCGGGGAACUGCGUCUGAUACUGGAUGGCUUGAGGUUGGGAGAGGGAUGCGGAAUUCCAGGUGUAGCGGUGAAAUGCGUAGAUAUCUGGAGGAACACCGGUGGCGAAGGCGGCAUCCUGGACCAAUUCUGACACUGAGGAGCGAAAGCCAGGGGAGCAAACGGG
rnacentral:rRNA from 1 species